rnacentral:tRNA from 1 species
ACAGAUGAUUCUACCGAACUUAGAACGCAAAAGAACUAACNCAUUUGGGGGUGUAGCUCAGCUGGGAGAGCGCCUCCCUUGCACGCAGGAGGUCAUCGGUUCGAUCCCGUUCACCUCCACCAAUAUAUGUGUGAUCUGUGAAGAGUGUGAGUAUAGAUAAGAUAUUUGAACGUAGGAUGAUCGGAAGAUUGGACUGCGUUAGAUGGAUGACAGAGUAAAGACGAAUACAAUAAACAAUCUAGUUUAACAUUAUAGUGUUAAGUUAGGCUGACGAAAGUUAGGCUAAUAAAACACAAACGCGAAACUAAAUUCAAUUUAACAGAAGCUCUUAAGAGUAAUUCUUGGGAGCGUCGAGUCAAACUUGUUUUAGGGAUGUUGAGUUAGAACUAGGCGAGUUCAAGAGAGGCGACGCAAUGUAUGAAUAAUACAUGAGGAGCCAAACGAAGAACUCAACGACGUAAAUAACUCAAGAGACCAAAACAAGGAUAUCCAAGCGUCAAAAGGGCAUCUGGUGGAUGCCUAGGCACAAAGAGGCGAUGAAGGACGUGCUAA